ACUCCUACGGGAGGCAGCAGUGGGGAAUAUUGCACAAUGGGCGCAAGCCUGAUGCAGCCAUGCCGCGUGUAUGAAGAAGGCCUUCGGGUUGUAAAGUACUUUCAGCAGUGAGGAAGGUUCAUACGUUAAUAGCGUAUGGAUUUGACGUUAGCUGCAGAAGAAGCACCGGCUAACUCCGUGCCAGCAGCCGCGGUAAUACGGAGGGUGCGAGCGUUAAUCGGAAUUACUGGGCGUAAAGCGCAUGCAGGUGGUUUGUUAAGUCAGAUGUGAAAGCCCGGGGCUCAACCUCGGAAUUGCAUUUGAAACUGGCAGACUAGAGUACUGUAGAGGGGGUAGAAUUUCAGGUGUAGCGGUGAAAUGCGUAGAGAUCUGAAGGAAUACCGGUGGCGAAGGCGGCCCCCUGGACAGAUACUGACACUCAGAUGCGAAAGCGUGGGGAGCGAAACAGGAUUAGAUACCCUGGUAGCACAGAG
rnacentral:rRNA from 1 species